UGAAAGUGUAUAGAGUGAAGAGAUACUUUCUGAAGUAUAAGGACAAGAGAGAAAAGACAGAUGUUAAUGAAGAAAAAUACAGUCAGGGCUGAAAUCAUUUAAGUACUGCUGGAGACAGUGGAGUUUGUGGGGGACUUUUACAAGUACUACAGCUACAAUAAUUUUACAAAAAAUUGUAAUGAUUGGAGAACAUAAUAAUCUUUCGGUCGGUAUACUCGUCAACUCAAACGCUGUUCUAGCUUGCCCUAAAGGAGGAUUAUUGCUUCCAUACGAGCCAGUAAAAAGAUAUAGACUGUGUAGCAUAGACGGCGUUGUGAAUGUAAAGACUGGAGACUCUAUUCAGAUCCAUACAAUGGAGGAGAACAUGACAGUCAGAUUACAUCAGGUGUCACUAUUUAAAAUGGUUUUGUUGCAUGCUACAAACUAAGAAGAUCUUCAGAACAGGCGUAAUAUACUCAGGCUCCUCAGUCGUUAGAAGUUUGUUUGUAAACAUUGCAUAGCAACACACAUUUCCGCUUGUGAAGAAAGAGGAGAUAACGCUAGAAAUUAAAUAAAAUAAAAAACAAGAGAAAGAGACUCUCAGAGAUAGAGAGAGAACAAAUUGAAUUUAAACUUCUAAUGAGUGUAAAAAUUAAAUGUGAAAACAAACUUUUUAAUGACUGGAGAGUGGCAAUGAAAUAAAUCCUUCUUAUAUUUUGAAUUAAGAAAAUGUUGUUUUUUUUAAAAUAAAACAUUACUGGUCUGAUAAUUGAGUAGAUAGUAAGAUAUAUUUAAAAAAAGAACUGUCAUGGAAAUGUCCAUGCUCUCAAUAGUGUUUUAAAUAUAUAUGUCAUAGUUUUUUUUAUGAGAAUCCUCCCCCACAGUUCUUGUUUAGCCCCUCUAGUAAAACCAACAACAAAAGUUCCCAAAGCUUUGUCAACAAAUUCUUAAUUAAAUGAUCGAAGUCUCUGCUUGCAAAAACUUGAAGUUUUGUAAAUUUGUAUAGAUUUUUGUGUGUCUCCGAGCAUUUUUCUUUUGAAGCUGGCUAUUUUUCUCAUUAUUUUAUAUUCUAAUGAGUAGUAUCUUGUCGGCAACAUGUUCCUGUAAUGAACUGUAUGCUAGAUCUUUAGAUUCCUUUUUUUUUUUAUUUUCAAAUGUAGGACCCUCUCUGUUUUUUUUAUAUACUUCCAUUGCAUUGUAUCUAGGCCUGUAUUUUAUCUUUGUUCUUUUCUGUAUUGUAUUAACUCAUCAUGUAGUCAUUGACAAUUUAUAAGCGUCUCUUUAUUUUGAAGUGGCUGAUAGGUUUAACGCUCUUUUGAAAGACCUUUUUAGGACCCCCUUGAGUCCACACAACUUUAAUAAGUACGUGAGAAACUAAAUGUAAAGGUGCUUGGUCGCUUUCUUUGUGCUGGCCACAUGACACGCUAGUUAACCACCGAUGCAUUUUACAGCAUUAGCCCCUAUAGGUUGUAAGGUCUGAAAAGAGUAGGCCUACCUUUUUUUUACAACGCUUAUAUCAUGUCUGUCUGUCUGACCACAAGUGUGUACACGUUGUUUCUCUUACACCCAAUCUCGGAUCACGCUGAAAAUGUACACAAUUAUUUCUUUUUACCUGACAACGCACGAGUAAAUACAAAAAUAUAAAAUAAUUGGUAAUAGUAUUUAAAUGAAGCGGUGUUAUAAGCUGAAUUAGUCCCCUUUAUAUUAUGCUGCCGUCCAAGGCAUAGUGAACACAAACGUUAAAUAGAAACAAUACAAUGUAAUACAAUCUUCAAGUUCAUAGACUUUUUGCUAGCAGAGUGGCUACCGCGUUGGCUCGAGGAGCUGAGAAAGUUUAAGUCAACAAGUUAGAUUUCAUGUCGUGCUCUUUUUUAAAAUUUAUUUUUAUAAAUGCUCUUUUUAUUGUUACAAAAUUUAGUUACAUGACUGAUCUAAACUAAUUGAUACAAGUACGCUAAAUAUAAGCUUUUUUAUAAUGUUUUUCUUUAUACAAAGAGGGAAAGCAAUAGAAUAAUAAUUGCACAUAAAUUUGGAUACAAUUCUUGCUGGACUUGUUCUUACAUAACAAUGUGUAUCCAUGUUAAUACUUCAAACCUUUUCUCAACAUUGUAUAUUCAUUAUUUUCUGUUUUUAAUUUAUUCUGUAAAUUCUGUGUGUGUGUGUGUGUGUAAAUAAUGAACUUUAUAUUUUAUUGUAAAUGUGUACAGUUAUUUUUCAUUUGUGAAAUAAAAUACAGACAUUCUG